CCUGGCUUAGGAUGAACGCUAGCUACAGGCUUAACACAUGCAAGUCGAGGGGCAGCAUGAUCUAAGCUUGCUUAGAUUGAUGGCGACCGGCGCACGGGUGAGUAACGCGUAUCCAACCUUCCCUAUAGUAGAGGAUAGCCCGGCGAAAGUCGGAUUAAUACUCUAUGUUGUUCAAUGCGGACAUCUAAGUUGAACCAAAGGUUUACCGCUAUAGGAUGGGGAUGCGUCUGAUUAGGUUGUUGGCGGGGUAACGGCCCACCAAGCCUACGAUCAGUAGGGGUUCUGAGAGGAAGGUCCCCCACAUUGGAACUGAGACACGGUCCAAACUCCUACGGGAGGCAGCAGUGAGGAAUAUUGGUCAAUGGGCGAGAGCCUGAACCAGCCAAGUAGCGUGCAGGAUGACGGCCCUUAAUGGGUUGUAAACUGCUUUUAUACAGGGAUAGAGUGCGCCACGUGUGGCAUAUUGCAAGUAUCGGAUGAAUAAGCAUCGGCUAACUCCGUGCCAGCCGCUGC
rnacentral:rRNA from 1 species